UGAUCUACGUGGAACUCUUCUACAAUUCCGUGAAGGAUGCAGAGGGAGUCUGGGGAGAAGUGCAUUUACAGUCUAAAUUCCUCGAGGAUAGAGACUGCAAUUUCCACUUUACUCUAUACCCACCGGCUAGUCCCCGGCUCCUUUCGGAAUGGGCUUCGAGUCCCGGGAAUCUGGAUGUACCCUGGGACUGGUUCUAAAACUGAUCAGGGAGCCAGAAGCAUCCUGCACUGUUCUCCCAGCAGCAAAGGCCGUUUACAGGAAGACAGCUUCUUAGUUUUUCCCUCCUCCCUUCCUUCAGUCACGGAAUCUUUUUCUGACCCCUGUCCCUAAACCCUGAACUCGCUAUUCCAGAGGCUUCGUGUGUGUGGGGGGGGCAAAGAAACAGAGCUCCACAAGAGCAGACUAGCAGAUAAUUCCUGGAAUUGAGGUCUCCGGGAGGAGAAACGCUGGGAUCUUCUUUCUCUUCCUCCCAGACACUUGUCUCACUGGUCUUCGGACUUUCCGAACUUCGCUUUUUGUGCACAGUCUCUCCACCCCUCACCCCCCUGCCCCCACCUCCCUGCCCCUAGGCUUGGAGCCUCGCUAGCCCAGCACUUUCUAUAACAUUCAUUUCUCCCACGCCAGUCCCACUCGGUUGGUCCUCGCCAGCUGUGCACUGCGCCCUCUGACCCCAGCAGGCCACCCUUCUCCCGGGCAAGUAAGGGAGCCCCACUGAAACAACUCACUUCAACCCCAGGUGAAAGCAGAAGUGGAUUUGCCCCUUUGCUGGGCAGAAUUCCCCGCCCCACUCCGGAAAUAACGAGAACUUGUCCAGCUCCAGAAAGUUGGGGAUUGGGAAGGGGGAGACGACAUCUGUCUACACAUGCUCUCUCUGACAAUAAUUCUUCUUACCGUCUGGGAGACAACCGGUUAAUGCAUUUCGCUCUCCCACCUCAUCACCAUGUCUUGCGG
rnacentral:lncRNA from 1 species